GAAAAUGUGCAGAGAAAAUUUACGAGCAUGUCGCCAGGAAUUGAAGGCCCGAGCUAUAGAGAUAGGGAGAGGUUGAGCAGGCUAGGACUCUAUUCCUUAGAGCGCAGGAGGAUGAGGGAUAAUCUUAUAGAGGUGUAUAAAAUCAUGAGAGGAGUAGAUCGGAGAGUCGCACAGCCUCUUGUCCAGUGUAGGGGAAUCAUGAACCAGAGGACAUAGGUUUAACAUGAGGGGAGAAACAUUUAAUGGGAACAUGAGAGGUAACAUUCACACAAAUGGUGGUGGGUGUAUGGAAUGAGCUGGUGGAGGAGGUAGUUGAGACAGGUACUA